AAUAAACGCCUCUAAUUUUUCCCUAAAUUGAAACCCAGAUUUCCUUUUUUUCUCUGCGCUCGAUUUCCUUUCCUUUUCCGAAUUUCUUUCUUCUCUGCAAACUGUUUCCCAGGUAGAAAUUAGGUCAUUUGUUUCAUUCUUGCUUUCGAUUCCUUUCCUUUUCAUGUCGUUUCCAAUCGGUUGUCUUUGUUUUCCAUCUGAUUCAUUUUCCUUGUCCAAUUUGUUUCGAAUCCCAAUCUAAAUUGAGCCCUCGAGAGCUUUGCCGUUCAUUUGUUGUCGCUGUUCGCAAGCCCCCGCCGUUCCCAUUACCGGCUUUCAUCUCCCUCCUCCUUCCAUCUACAACAAUGGUUUAAGGUAUGAACCGGUUCUAAUGUCUGUUGACAUCCAAUGUCAAGGUGGCUGCAUCAUUUAUAUUUUACCUUCACAUGUUGCCAAACAUGUGGUAUUCGAUAGUCAUUUGAAGCAUUGUCGAGAAACACAUUGCCUUUAUUGCUUGAAUGAACUACUGGCAGAUACGAUCCCCUGUAUUUCGUGUUCGUUGCCAUUGUACUGUUCCCAGCAUUGCCAAGUGCGAGCAGGUGGACAAAUAAUGUCAAUUAUUCAAGUAAAAUUGACAUCAGUGAAAAGAAGUCCAACUGUACUGAAGAGUAUAUUCCAGAUAUAACUGUAGGGAGUAAUUCCAAUCCAAAACUUUAGUGCAUUCCAGAACAUAAACAUGAAUGUCAAGGUGUGCACUGGCCUGCAAUAUUGCCUUCUGAUGUAGUUCUGGUUGGUCGAGUAGUAGUGAAAUUUUUAGAGUAGAAAGGAAAAUUUACUGAGGUUCCUAAUCUUUUAGAAACUUUGGUAUAUCCUUCAAUUGUGUGUUAUUAUAUUAAAUUUUGUAGUUACAUGUAUAUCGAAACAAAUUAUAUUUAGAUAUUUAAAUAUUUAUAA